rnacentral:rRNA from 1 species
GGCGGGGCUGGGCGGUCCGCUUAACGGCGAGUACUGUCUGGCCCUGUCUUACUUCCUGGUGAGCCGGCGUGGCCUUUAUUGGUUGCGUCGGGGAACCAGGACUUUUACCUUGAGAAAAUUAGAGUGUUCAAAGCAGGCAUAUGCCCGGAUACAUUAGCAUGGAAUAAUGAAAUAGGACGU